rnacentral:rRNA from 1 species
UACGUAGGGUGCGAGCGUUAAUCGGAAUUACUGGGCGUAAAGCGUGCGCAGGCGGUUCGUUAAGACAGAUGUGAAAUCCCCGGGCUUAACCUGGGAACUGCAUUUGUGACUGGCGAGCUAGAGUAUGGCAGAGGGGGGUAGAAUUCCACGUGUAGCAGUGAAAUGCGUAGAGAUGUGGAGGAAUACCGAUGGCGAAGGCAGCCCCCCUGGGCCAAUACUGACGCUCAUGCACGAAAGACGU